UUGCUUCAGCAGCACAUAUAUUAAAAUUGGAACAAUACAGAGAAGAUUAGCCUGGUGCCUGAACAAGGAUGACAUGCAAACCACAAUUCAUGGAAUCCCUGUGU